AGAGUUUGAUCAUGGCUCAGGAUGAACGCUAGCGACAGGCCUAACACAUGCAAGUCGAGGGGCAUCGGGACGUAGCAAUACGUUGCCGGCGACCGGCGGAUGGGUGAGUAACGCGUAUGCAACCUACCCGUAGCAGGGGGAUAGCCCGUUGAAAGACGGAUUAAUACCCCGUAACACAGGGGCUCCGCAUGGAGAUUAUUGUUAAAGGGUCAUUUCUUUUUCAGGGAUGGUCCGGCUGCGGAUGGGCAUGCGUUCCAUUAGGUAGUUGGUGUAGGUAAUGGCUCACCAAGCCGACGAUGGAUAGGGGAACUGAGAGGUUGGUCCCCCACACUGGUACUGAGACACGGACCAGACUCCUACGGGAGGCAGCAGUGAGGAAUUUUGGUCAAUGGACGCAAGUCUGAACCAGCCAUGUCGCGUGAAGGAGGACGGCCCUAAGGGUUGUAAACUUCUUUUGCAGUGGAAUAAAGUUUGCCACGUGUUGGCGAUUUGCAAGUACGCUGCGAAUAAGGAUCGGCUAACUCCGUGCCAGCAGCCGCGGUAAUAC
rnacentral:rRNA from 1 species